AUUGAACGCUGGCGGCAUGCCUUACACAUGCAAGUCGAACGGCAGCACGGGUGCUUGCACCUGGUGGCGAGUGGCGAACGGGUGAGUAAUACAUCGGAACAUGUCCUGUAGUGGGGGAUAGCCCGGCGAAAGCCGGAUUAAUACCGCAUACGAUCUACGGAUGAAAGCGGGGGACCUUCGGGCCUCGCGCUAUAGGGUUGGCCGAUGGCUGAUUAGCUAGUUGGUGGGGUAGAGGCCUACCAAGGCGACGAUCAGUAGCUGGUCUGAGAGGACGACCAGCCACACUGGGACUGAGACACGGCCCAGACUCCUACGGGAGGCAGCAGUGGGGAAUUUUGGACAAUGGGCGAAAGCCUGAUCCAGCAAUGCCGCGUGUGUGAAGAAGGCCUUCGGGUUGUAAAGCACUUUUGUCCGGAAAGAAAUCCUUGGCCCUAAUACGGUCGGGGGAUGACGGUACCGGAAGAAUAAGCACCGGCUAACUACGUG
rnacentral:rRNA from 1 species